rnacentral:rRNA from 1 species
GAUGAACGCUGGCGGCGUGCCUAAUACAUGCAAGUCGAGCGAAUGGAUUAAGAGCUUGCUCUUAUGAAGUUAGCGGCGGACGGGUGAGUAACACGUGGGUAACCUGCCCAUAAGACUGGGAUAACUCCGGGAAACCGGGGCUAAUACCGGAUAACAUUUUGAACAGCAUGGGUCGAAAUUGAAAGGCGGAUUCGGCUGUCACUUAUGGAUGGACCCGCGUCGCAUUAGCUAGUUGGUGAGGUAACGGCUCACCAAGGCAACGAUGCGUAGCCGACCUGAGAGGGUGAUCGGCCACACUGGGACUGAGACACGGCCCAGACUCCUACGGGAGGCAGCAGUAGGGAAUCUUCCGCAAUGGACGAAAGUCUGACGGAGCAACGCCGCGUGAGUGAUGAAGGCUUUCGGGUCGUAAAACUCUGUUGUUAGGGAAGAACAAGUGCUAGUUGAAUAAGCUGGCACCUUGACGGUACCUAACCAGAAAGCCACGGCUAACUACGUGCCAGCCGCCGCGGUAA